GAUGAACGCUGGCGGCGUGCCUAACACAUGCCAGUCGAGCGAACGGACGAGAAGCUUGCUUCUCUGAUGUUAGCGGCGGACGGGUGAGUAACACGUGGAUAACCUACCUAUAAGACUGGGAUAACUUCGGGAAACCGGAGCUAAUACCGGAUGAUAUUUUGAACCGCAUGGUUCAAAAGUGAAAGACGGUCUUGCUGUCACUUAUAGAUGGAUCCGCGCUGCAUUAGCUAGUUGGUAAGGUAACGGCUUACCAAGGCAACGAUGCAUAGCCGACCUGAGAGGGUGAUCGGCCACACUGGAACUGAGACACGGUCCAGACUCCUACGGGAGGCAGCAGUAGGGAAUCUUCCGCAAUGGGCGAAAGCCUGACGGAGCAACGCCGCGUGAGUGAUGAAGGUCUUCGGAUCGUAAAACUCUGUUAUUAGGGAAGAACAUAUGUGUAAGUAACUGUGCACAUCUUGACGGUACCUAAUCAGAAAGCCACGGCUAACUACGUG
rnacentral:rRNA from 1 species